AGGAUGAGAGUAAUAAUGCGGUAAAUUUUGAUGUUUCUAUGGCUCCUGAUCACAGUGAAUUUUGAGGUAAUGCGGUAAUUUAUUUUUGAGUUUGUUUGGUGCAUUAUUUUUGAUUGAUUGAUUUUGCUUUUUCAAGAUUAGUGUGUGUGUGUGUGUUUUUUCAUAGCCCCUGAACGCAGUGAAUUUUGGGUUAAUGUGGUAAUUUUGUUGUGCAUUGUGUUUGAUUGAUUUUUCCAUUUUCAAGAUUAGUGUGUGUGUUUGUGUGUUUCCAUAGCCAUUGAUCCUAGUGAAUUUUGAGGUAUAAUUAACAAGAUGUUGCAAUAAUUUUGGGAAAUUUUAUAAUUAGUAAUUCAAUUUUUAUUUUAUUGCCUAAGUUUCAUAAAAAAAAUAACUUAUUUGCUUCCUUCUAGUAACUUAUUGUAAUACUUAGGUAACUAUAAAAGAUUUUGUAGUUAUGCAAAAAUAGUUUAGUGGCUAUCGUGAUACGAAAAAUAGUUUUUGAUUUUUUACUUACAAAUAGUUAAAUUGUUUGGAACAGUGUACAACAACAACAACAACCCAGUAUAAUCCCACUUAGUGGGGUCUGGGGAGGGUAGUGUGUACGCACACCUUACCCCUACCUUGGGGUAGAGAGGCUGUUUCCAAAUAGACCCUUGGCAUCCUUCCCUCCAAGAACUUCCCAUCUUGCUCUUGGGUAGACUCGAACUCACAACCUCUUGGUUGGAACAUUGUGUUUGAUUGAUUCUGCCUUUUUUUUUAAAGAUUUAUUUUGUGUGUGAAUUGAUUUUGAUAUGUUGGUGCUUUUUUGUUUUAUGAUACAGGAUAGGUUGAUGGUGGAACUUUAGUGCUGUGACAUUUGGAAACUGGAAAUUAUACUGCUGGUUUUGGUAACAAUAGUUUUAGAGUUAAAAGUGAAUGAAAUUGUAGGUUCUUGACUUUGAGUAAUAUGAAAUAGUUUGACUAGUAGAAUUGAGAUGUAUUUCAAUACCACUCUCCAUCUUGAGAAUAUUAAGCUAGCGUUUGGACAUAGAUUGAAUUGAAACUUGAAAAAAUAAUUUUUGAAGUAGUUUUGAAAAAUAAUUUUUGGAAGUUGAAAUUAUGUUUGGACAUGCAUUUUAUUUGAAAAAAAUUGAAGUUUU
rnacentral:lncRNA from 1 species